AUUGAACGCUGGCGGCAGGCCUAACACAUGCAAGUCGAACGAGUGGCGGACGGGUGAGUAAUGUCUGGGAAACUGCCUGCUGGAGGGGGAUAACUACUGGAAACGGUAGCUAAUACCGCAUACCAUCGGAUGUGCCCAGAUGGGAUUAGCUAGUAGGUGGGGUAAAGGCUCACCUAGGCGACGAUCACUAGCUGGUCUGAGAGGAUGACCAGCCAUACGGGAAAGGAGACACGGGCCAGACGCCUACGGGAGGUAGCAGUGGGGAAUAUUGCACAAUGGGCGCAAGCCUGAUGCAGCCAUGCGGCGUGUAUGAAGAAGGCCUUCGGGUUGUAAAGUACUUUCAGCGGGGAGGCGUUACCCGCAGAAGAAGCACCGGCUAACUCCGUGCCAGCAGCCGCGGUAAUUC
rnacentral:rRNA from 1 species